UACGUAGGGGGCUAGCGUUGUCCGGAAUCAUUGGGCGUAAAGCGCGCGUAGGCGGCCCGGUAAGUCCGCUGUGAAAGUCAAAGGCUCAACCUUUGAAUGUCAGCGGAUACUGCCGGGCUAGAGUCCGGAAGAGGCGAGUGGAAUUCCUGGUGUAGCGGUGGAAUGCGCAGAUAUCAGGAGGAACACCAGCGGCGAAGGCAGCUCGCUGGGACGGUACUGACGCUGAGACGCGAAAGCGUGGGGAGCGAACAGG
rnacentral:rRNA from 1 species